AAACUGCUAUGGUUGACCUGCCCAGAUGAAUCUUAGUCCGGCUCGUGCUGCGAUGCCCAGUGUGUCAGUCCUCAUUCCUGGGGCGCCAAAUGGGGCAGCUUUUUAUUUUAUUUUUUUUAUUUUGAGACAGUCUCGUUCUGUUGCCCAAGCUGGAGUGUAGUGGCACAAUCUCGGCUCACUGCAACCUUCGCCUCCCGGAUUCAAGCGAUUCUCCUGCCUCAGCCUCCUGAGUAGCUGGGAUUACAGACGCGCAUCACCACACCUGGCUAAUUUUUGUAUUUUUAGGUUUCACCAUGUCGGUCAGGCUGGUCUCAAACUCCUGACCUCAUGAUCCGCCCACCUCGGUCUCCCAGAGUGCUGGGAUUACAGGCGUGAGCCACUGCGCCCAGUUAUAAAUGGGGUAACUUAAACGUAAUGGUCUAGUGUGCCCUGACCUCCCCACUCGGACCUCCACAGCAUUUCCGGCGUUCAGUCACUCCGACCAGAGCUCCCCUGUAUGAGUGAGGGUGGGGGUCGCCCACCCCACCCUGGGCUCCCUCCUGGGACACACCCACUCUUUCAGCUUUUUGUAACUACUUUUCACUUGGAGAGUUUCCUGAAAUACUAAUUUGUAUAAAAAAUAGAUAUCUGGUCUGGGUGCUGUGGCGUAUGCCUACAAUUCCAACUCUGGCAGGCUGAGGCGGGAAGUUGGCUUGAAGCCAGGAGUUGGAGACCAGCCUGGGCAACAUGGAGAGACCCUACCCCACAAAACUGAAUCUUAACCAAAACAUUUUUUUAAUUUAGCUGGGUGUGGUGUAGUCCUGUAGUCCCAGCUCACCUGUAGUCCCAGCUACUGGGGAGGCUGAGGAGGAAGGAUCACUUGAGCCCAGGAGUUCCAGGCUGCAGUGAGCUCUGAUGGUACCACAGUGCUCUAGCCUGGGCAACAGAGCCAGACUCUGUCUCAAAAACAAACAAACAAAAACCUCUGAAUUGUGGGUUCAGUGCUUUUUGUUUGUUUGUUUGAGACACAGUCUGUUGUCCAGGCUGGAGUGCAGUGGCGCAAUCUCAAGCUACUACAACCUCUGCCUUCCAUGUUCAAGCAGUUCUCCCACCCUAGCCUCCCAAGUGGCUGGGAUUACAGGCGUCUGCCACCAUGCCUGGCUAAUUUUUUUGUAUUUACAGUAGAGACAGUUUUACCAUGUUGGCCAGGUUGGUCUCGAACUCCUGACCUCAAGUGUUCCACCUGCCUUGGCCUCCCAAAGUACUGUAAUUACAGGCAGUAGCCACCAUACCCCCCUUGCAUUCAGUUUUUUUUUCAAUGUCAGUGGAUUUAUCCUGGACCCUGAGCUUCUCUAGGUAGCAGAAGACCCCUGAACUGCAGAACAGAACGUGAGAGUUCCCACCUGCUCCCUAUGUUACUUGGGGAAGGGCCCCUAAGUUCUGUGAGCCUCCAUUUAUUUUUGUGUAAAAUGUAAGUGGAUUCAGGAAUCCUUUCUUCAUUUUUUUUUUAAAUUAUCCAAACUGCUUCAAAAAAGUUCAGGAAUCUUGAGGCUUUCCUGGAAUUGACUGAUGCUCAGUCAACAGGCAUGUUUGUGUACCAUUUUUCAUUAUGAGUUUCCACAUUGUUCAUUUUAUCUUUCCAGGAAGGGCUGUGGAACGUCAGAUGGAAUGGAUAGCAUAGCCCGAAUUUUACAAAAAGAGUUUUUUUAAAGGAAGAUCUCAGUGGUGAAACACUAGAGGCUUUCCUGCUAAAGUCAAGAAUAAAGUAUGUCUACUAUCUCUCCACUGUGCAGCUGGGAAAAGAAAUAGUGAGAAGAAAAUCUGAGAACCAAGACACAGAGAGGAGAGACAGGAGAGAGGGGCGGGGCAGAGACAACACCAUCCACAGAAGAAAAGGCACAAAAGGGAUGGAGCACCAGGAGUGAUGGUGUGUGUCUCCAGUCCCAGCCACCCAGGAGGAUGAGGCAGGAUUGCUUGAGCCCAGGAGGUGGAGGCUGCAGUGUGCCAUGAUUUCACAACUGUACUCCAGCCUAGGACCCGAACCACUGGCUCCCUUCUCUGGCCUCUGUCUCGACCCCUCGUCUCCCACACUUUAAACUUCCCCAGUCUGCAAAAGAAAAGAUCUCAGGGGAGCAUGAAGCGGCAGGCUGGACCCCCAAGUCU